rnacentral:rRNA from 1 species
UUCUGUAAGCCGUUGAAGGUGUCCUGUGAGGGGUGCUGGAGGUAUCAGAAGUGCGAAUGCUGACAUAAGUAACGAUAAAGCGGGUGAAAAGCCCGCUCGCCGGAAGACCAAGGGUUCCUGUCCAACGUUAAUCGGGGCAGGGUGAGUCGACCCCUAAGGCGAGGCCGAAAGGCGUAGUCGAUGGGAAACGGGUUAAUAUUCCCGUACUUGGUGUUACUGCGAAGGGGGGACGGAGAAGGCUAUGUUGGCCGGGCGACGGUUGUCCCGGUUUAAGCGUGUAGGUGUGUGUUCCAGGUAAAUCCGGUUCACUUUAACACUGAGGCGUGAUGACGAGGCACCACGGUGCUGAAGCAACAAAUGCCCUGCUUCCAGGAAAAGCCUCUAAGCAUCAGGUAACAUCAAAUCGUACCCCAAACCGACACAGGUGGUCAGGUAGAGAAUACCAAGGCGCUUGAGAGAACUCGGGUGAAGGAACUAGGCAAAAUGGUGCCGUAACUUCGGGAGAAGGCACGCUGACACGUAGGUGAAGUGAUUUACUCAUGGAGCUGAAGUCAGUCGAAGAUACCAGCUGGCUGCAACUGUUUAUUAAAAACACAGCACUGUGCAAACACGAAAGUGGACGUAUACGGUGUGACGCCUGCCCGGUGCCGGAAGGUUAAUUGAUGGGGUCAGCGCAAGCGAAGCUCCUGAUCGAAGCCCCGGUAAACGGCGGCCGUAACUAUAACGGUCCUAAGGUAGCGAAAUUCCUUGUCGGGUAAGUUCCGACCUGCACGAAUGGCGUAAUGAUGGCCAGGCUGUCUCCACCCGAGACUCAGUGAAAUUGAACUCGCUGUGAAGAUGCAGUGUACCCGCGGCAAGACGGAAAGACCCCGUGAACCUUUACUAUAGCUUGACACUGAACAUUGAGCCUUGAUGUGUAGGAUAGGUGGGAGGCUUUGAAGCGUGGACGCCAGUCUGCGUGGAGCCGACCUUGAAAUACCACCCUUUAAUGUUUGAUGUUCUAACGUGGACCCGUAAUCCGGGUUGCGGACAGUGUCUGGUGGGUAGUUUGACUGGGGCGGUCUCCUCCUAAAGAGUAACGGAGGAGCACGAAGGUUGGCUAAUCCUGGUCGGACAUCAGGAGGUUAGUGCAAUGGCAUAAGCCAGCUUGACUGCGAGCGUGACGGCGCGAGCAGGUGCGAAAGCAGGUCAUAGUGAUCCGGUGGUUCUGAAUGGAAGGGCCAUCGCUCAACGGAUAAAAGGUACUCCGGGGAUAACAGGCUGAUACCGCCCAAGAGUUCAUAUCGACGGCGGUGUUUGGCACCUCGAUGUCGGCUCAUCACAUCCUGGGGCUGAAGUAGGUCCCAAGGGUAUGGCUGUUCGCCAUUUAAAGUGGUACGCGAGCUGGGUUUAGAACGUCGUGAGACAGUUCGGUCCCUAUCUGCCGUGGGCGCUGGAAGACUGAGGGGG